AGGUCGAUGCCCGAGCGGUUAAUGGGGACGAACUGUAAAUUCGUUGACGAUAUGUCUACGCUGGUUCAAAUCCAGCUCGGCCCA
rfam:Leersia perrieri chromosome 10, whole genome shotgun sequence.